UGGUGGUUAAACCACUAGAACUCCGCCCCAAAGGAUGAUGCCCGUGGAUGCGGGAUGGGACGAAGGGGAGGACCACCA
rnacentral:sRNA from 12 species